GAUGAACGCUAGCUACAGGCUUAACACAUGCAAGUCGAGGGGAAACGACAUCGAAAGCUUGCUUUUGAUGGGCGUCGACCGGCGCACGGGUGAGUAACGCGUAUCCAACCUGCCCACCACUUGGGGAUAACCUUGCGAAAGUAAGACUAAUACCCAAUGAUAUCUCUAGAAGACAUCUGAAAGAGAUUAAAGAUUUAUCGGUGAUGGAUGGGGAUGCGUCUGAUUAGCUUGUUGGCGGGGUAACGGCCCACCAAGGCAACGAUCAGUAGGGGUUCUGAGAGGAAGGUCCCCCACAUUGGAACUGAGACACGGUCCAAACUCCUACGGGAGGCAGCAGUGCGGAAUAUUGGUCAAUGGACGAGAGUCUGACCCAGCCAAGUAGCGUGCAGGAAGACGGCCGUAUGGGUUGUAAACUGCUUUUAUAAGGGAAUAAAGUGAGUCUCGUGAGACUUUUUGCAUGUACCUUAUGAAUAAGGACCGGCUAAUUCCGUG
rnacentral:rRNA from 1 species